rnacentral:rRNA from 1 species
CCUACGGGAGGCUGCAGUGAGGAAUAUUGGUCAAUGGACGAGAGUCUGAACCAGCCAAGUAGCGUGAAGGAUGACUGCCCUAUGGGUUGUAAACUUCUUUUAUAUGGGAAUAAAAUGUUCCACGUGUGGGAUUUUGUAUGUACCAUAUGAAUAAGGAUCGGCUAACUCCGUACCAGCAGCCGCGGUAAUACGGAGGAUCCGAGCGUUAUCCGGAUUUAUUGGGUUUAAAGGGAGCGUAGGUGAAUUGUUAAGUCAGUUGUGAAAGUUUGCGGCUCAACCGUAAAAUUGCAGUUGAAACUGGCAGUCUUGAGUACAGUAGAGGUGGGCGGAAUUCGUGGUGUAGCGGUGAAAUGCUUAGAUAUCACGAAGAACUCCGAUUGCGAAGGCAGUUCACUGGACUGCAACUGACACUGAGGCUCGAAAGUGUGGGUAUCAAACAGGAUUAGAUACCCUUGUAGUC